GUUAUUGGAUAACUGUGGUAAUUCUAGAGCUAAUACAUGCAUAUACGUUCGGCUUCGGCUGGAUGUGCUUUUAUUAGUGCAAACCAUGUCUUCGGACUUCUGGUGAUGACUCUGAAUAACUUUGCCGAGCAUUUCAGCUUCAAGCUGGUGCUAUUCCUUCAAAGUAUCUGCUCUAUCAACUGUCGAUGGUAUAUUAUAUGUUUACCAUGGUUGUAACGGGUAACGGGGAAUUAGGGUUCGAUUCCGGAGAGGGAGCCUGAGAAACGGCUACCACAUCCSAGGAAGGCGA
rnacentral:rRNA from 1 species